CUGACUGUGAUUCUGUUUAGGAAAUUAUACUGUAUAUAUUCCUCUAUGAUGUUUUCAUCCCUCAACAGAGGAAGGCUGACAAUUUUUGGACCCGUUGCAAGUACAAAGGAAUGGACUGUUUUUGCACACAAACUUCCUAGAUGAUCCCUACGCAUUUUAAGCUAUCAAUAUAUUAAUUUCACAGACGCAAGCGGUCGGAGGUGUGAGGAGCAAAAUACAGAUUAUGGAACAGCAUACACACAACCAAAAAACAGUUUGACAUUUUACAAGGCUACUUAAAGGGACACUAUAGGCACCCUGCGAAACUCCCACUCUGGAAACGGUCUCACAGAGUUGUUGACAGCUGAUGGGCCUUACGUCCUUCCUGGUUCUCAGUCCAGUAGAACACAAUGUCGGAACACUUCUGGAGACCUUCGCUGUCACAGGUGAGGUGAGUAGUUGAGCUUUCCAACAGGAUUCAACCUGUCUCCAAAAUACUGCACAUAGAACAUCGAAAGCGGCACAAAAAUUAGAUUCCAAGUAUGGGCUCAAGCGCUCAGUCAGAGUGGCAGCCAUCUUCAGGUCUCGGCUUGUCAGGGUGAGUAGAGGCUAUUCAGCAUUAUAUGUUCCAGUAGCUUUUCCAUAGUUGGGACCGGAAUAACCCCCACUGGUCUGAGGGGGGGGAAUGGGGCUGUAAAUGUGAGGUUCACAAACACCAAUAGUUCCAGGUUGAGAGAUUGUCUGCUUCUCCCUUCCACAGAACCCAUAGAGCGGAUAGGCUUUAGGACAGUUCUUAGUUACAGGCUAUGAGGUGGCACUGCAGACUUGCUCGGGUGUGCUCCCUGAUGUUCAGGAACAGGUAGGUGAUCGGUGAGCAAGCUCCAAAAGUGUAAUCCCCUCUGUAGGUCAGAUUUUACAGGCUGCAUGUGGGGAGCGCAUUUCAUGCACUGUCUGCCAUGCAGGGCAGGCCC